AAUAGAUACCCAGGUAGUCCACGCCCUAAACGAUGUCAACUGGUUGUCGGGGAAGCAAUUCCUUGGUAACGAAGCUAACGCGUGAAGUUGACCGCCUGGGGAGUACGGCCGCAAGGUUAAAACUCAAAGGAAUUGACGGGGACCCGCACAAGCGGUGGAUUAUGUGGAUUAAUUCGAUGCAACGCGAAAAACCUUACCUACCCUUGACAUGUACGGAACCUCGCAGAGAUGUGAGGGUGCCCGAAAGGGAGCCGUAACACAGGUGCUGCAUGGCUGUCGUCAGCUCGUGUCGUGAGAUGUUGGGUUAAGUCCCGCAACGAGCGCAACCCUUGUCAUUAGUUGCUACAUUCAGUUGGGCACUCUAAUGAGACUGCCGGUGACAAACCGGAGGAAGGUGGGGAUGACGUCAAGUCCUCAUGGCCCUUAUGGGUAGGGCUUCACACGUAAUACAAUGGCCGGUACAGAGGGCUGCCAACCCGCGAGGGGGAGCUAAUCCCAGAAAGCCGGUCGUAGUCCGGAUUGUUCUCUGCAACUCGAGAGCA
rnacentral:rRNA from 1 species